UGAUAAGGCUCUGGACUAAGCAAG
rnacentral:piRNA from 1 species